ACGAGAUGACGAUAGAAAUUCAGUCUGUCAAUCCACUGAUCCCAUUAUAUGGGUUUGAUGAUACAGCGAAUCUCGACAGGUUCUGAUUGU
rfam:Spinacia oleracea cultivar SynViroflay scaffold5891.con0008.1, whole genome shotgun sequence.